rnacentral:lncRNA from 1 species
AGUGACCCGAGAUCUCCACCGCCAGCAGCUGGGGGUAGCGGAGGGCAGGUCCAAGUCUCACUCCAGGAAGUGGUCUGCGUGGAGUGUGGUCACCGCCACCUGCCCCUAGUCAUCAGCCGCUGCAAACACUCACACGCCCCCCUCCCCCGCGUGCCACCGCACGCCCCCGAGUUGGCGGGCACCAAAGUCCCUGCAGGUGGAGGGGCCGGCCCGCGGGCCACCGUUCCCACCUCUGCCUGCCCAGGUCCCGAGCGGAGCGGAGGGCGCCGGGCGGCCGUCGGCUCCACACACGGAACCCCGCUCGGCUUCAGCGCGACCCCACAGGGGCCGAGCCCGAGGGGCGCUCACGCGGCCGCCCCUCCCCCACGCGCCCCUCCCCCCACGCCGCCGUCCGGUCGCCGGGGUCUCGGCGGUCCCUCGCUCGGCCUGGGAGGGGGCCCUGGCUUCGCCGCGGCCGUUUCCUGCCUACCCCUCCCCGCCGAGGGUAAAAAAAAAAAAAAAAAAAAAAAAAUCUCCUCCCCCGAAAGCCGCGACCAAGUGGCCCGGUCCGCGCGCGCAAGCUCGCUCCCAGCGCUCUCCAGCCCGGGCGGCGGCGCGGUGCGCGGCGGCGGCGGCGGUGGCGCGGCGACCGCGGUAGCGGCGGGGGAGGGGUGCCGCGGGGAGGGGAGGAGGCCUGGCCCCAAGGCCGCAGCCGCCGCCGCCGCCGCCGUCGCCGCCCGGACGCGGGGCCCGUCUGGACCGGCCAGGGGCCCGGGCUCGCCUCGGCUCGGCCGCACCGAAGGUGCCCGGCCCGGCGGCUCCGCUCGGGCCCGGGGAGUCGGGCGGACGCUUACCUGGCGGCGGGGGCGCGGCGGCGGCGGCAGCGCGGCGCGGCGGCGGCGGAAGAGGUGGCAGCUGGGGGGGCUGUGGCGGUCGCGGCCCCGGUCGUGGCCCGGCCCGCGCCCGAGUACUCCCUCUUCGUCCUCCUCCUCAUCGUCCUCGUCGGCCGCCUCCACCUCCUCCUCCUCCUCGUCGCCCUCUUCUUCCUCCUCUUCCCUUCCUCCGACACCACCAUCUCCUCCUCCUCCUCCUCCUCGUCCCUCAGAGGGGAAGCCAUCCUGUGGCUCUGGCCCCCCCACCACCCCCCCACCCACCGCCCGCCCGCCUCCCCCACCGCUACCACCACCACCUCCUCCUCCUCCUCCUCCUCUUCGGCGGCGGCGUCCUCCUCCUCCUCCUCACCGCCUCCCCAGCCCCCCAAGCCCCCGGGCCACCCCCCUCCAGAACACCCACCCCCGGGGCCGGCGUCUGAGGAGGGGGGCCGCACCACCCCCAAAAAUGUUCUUGGAAAAAUUUAAGGACUUUUUUCCCCCUUCUCUCUUUGCUCCCAAGAGAACAAGAAAGGGAGAUCGUUUUUAA